AAACCUCACGAUCGAGGCUGCCCUCAUCUAUUCGCUACAACGACGGGAGCCAUGCCGCCGCCGCCACCGCCACCGCGAUCCCUGAAACGCCGCCGAUCUAUUCGCGACAUCGAUGGAAACCAGGCGCUAGCCACGGAUCCCUUUGCCGGCGCCGAGCAGUCAUCGAGGAGCCGGCGCCGAGGUCCUCAAGGAGGCGCCGCCGCCAUCGUUGCAGGCCUCCGGGUUGCCAUCGGGACACCGCUGCCGAGAUCCGCCUUCGCCUUCGUCCGGCAGAGGCGGCGGAAGGCAGCCGGGAGGGGAAGUGCACAACGACCUGGAAGACAUCCGCCCUCACGCGCUCAUCGUCUUGCUCGAUCUACCCGAGGGCUGCCGAUGGGCGCCUCGGCGGCGGCCACGGCGAGAUCUGCGUCUGGGACAUGACAAUCCCUCCACCCCGGUCGCCGGUGAGAUUUCACUGCCUCGAUCCUCCCGGUCCCAGUUUAUCAGGUCAUCCCUGACAAGAGGGAGCGAGAGAUGCUACUGCCGGGCACGUGCACGCACGUGGGGUGGCCGCCUGCGAGCAGGGCCGCGUCCUCUCUCCUUCGUCGACUAUGGCCUCCGAACCACUCCAUUGUACCUCUGCGCCCAAGUGUCCGCUCCUCGAUCUUCAACAGAUUUGUUAUCGCCUCUCUUCCGUUGCAGUUCUGAAAACCAGUGAACAAGGAGAAAUUUGGAGAUGCAGUUCUAAAAACCAGUGAACAAGAAGCACAUGGGAGCCGCUCAAUGCUCUACUAUUGAAAGUUGAGUAGGUGAUUAUGAGAUGAAGACGCUGGAAGAAGUUGGUGUGGUUGUUUGUCAGUAAAACUUAUCUGUAGUCAAGUCAUAUCCAGCCCGUUGACCAUCAUCCGAAUGCUUCUGAUAAUAAUCAAGUGUUUUCUAUUGAAUAUGUUACAAUCCAUUCUGAAGCAAACUGGGUUACUAGCAGUUUAAGAAGAUGUUAUACACCUGACUGGCAAAGAUCUUUUUUAUAUCCACAAUGCAUUUCAUGACGAUCCAAGUAUAUUGCUGAUCAAAUAGAAAAUAUGUAAUUUUCUGUUUCGGUAAUAAACAGGCAAUUCAACGUAUAGCUGGGGCAGCCUGAUUUCCUCUUACACAUGCCCGCUAGCAGCAGCAGUUACGACCAGGCGGUUGCGGCCUAACUUGGUGGCUCUUCCUUUUUGUUUUGUGUUUGAAUCAGAUUUGGUGGUCUCGAUUUUACAGGCAUGUGUUGAUCUUGGUCUUGUUCUGUAUGCAAGUAGGGUACACUUGAUGUUUCAUGUUUGGUGAAAGAAAAGGAGCUUCCUAUGUUGAUUUCGGGCAAGACAUACAUUCUGCCAUGCAUUAGUAGAUCAAUUGCUUCUUUGUGUAGGGGAACGAUUAGUGAUUGAAUCUCUCUGUCUCGUUUCUUGAUUAUCCAAUUAAUUUACCCUCAUUUAUGCAUAAAUUGGUCCGAUUGAGUUAUGCCAUUUUUUUUUAAUAAUCUAUAUUGGUUCUAUAUAUGACUAGAACAAUAUGAUACGAUGCACAUCGGUCCGCUUUACUGGCAGCUAUCCUUCAAGAUUGAGGGGAGGCACUCUUGUGGACCAGCUCAAUGUUCGAGGAGAUACGGCUGACUAAACAAGGUUAUUUUAAAGUUCUGUGUGGUUCAUGUUAGCUAUCUAUCGGUAAUAGUACAACCUUGAUUUUUAUGUCGUUCAGGUUUACCUAACCAUCAGUAACAUUACUUUCUAUUGGAGACUUCUUACAGGAGGUGCUUAUAAAAUGAUAGUUGAACAUGUACAGAUUUUGGAUCACGAUCAUCUAUUUACCAGGCAUCAGUUAACUCAAGGCAUCGAUCAAAAUCUAGCGUUAUUUGUUGUGUGCAUCAUGGAGAAGACAAAGAACAGAGAUUGUGUGAUAUAUCCGAUAGCGUAAUAUAAUUUUCUCUUGCAUAUUUAUAAUCUGCCAUUUGAAUGAUGUUUUCUGUGUUGUAGUCAAAUCAAGACAAUUUGCAACUUUGGUGUUGUGACGUUGGAGGUCGUGCUCAACAGCAAUGGGGGACUGUUCGUUGAUGCCCGACCCAUGAUGCCGGCGAAGGAAUGAGAGUCGACGAGGAGUGGACGCCAUGGGUUCGUGAACUGGCGAAGCCUCCGUUGUCCGUUUGGUAAUAUCCGACGCAUCAGAGGCAUAGUAUGACUUGUCUCGAUUAUGAUGUCGUCUACAAACAUCCAACGGAGGGGAACCCGUCCCAGUUUCCAUCUUGAUGACUACAAAUAGAGGGAAGUUGGUCUGUGCCUUACUAGAGACAGAUGAACCAAUAAAAUGAUUGGAAAGGUUCUUCCCAAGGAAAAGGACGCCGCCGUCGCUUCGGAUCCCCACACGACGCCAGCAUGGGCCGUGACAACUGAUGAGCACGCUCCACCCCCAUUCCUGCCACAGAUGAAGAAAAGUAGGCUCAAUCAGGCCAUGACCAGAGUUGAAGAAGGCUCAGGCAGAUGGUGAUACUCUCAAACCAGGAGACCCCAACCCGGUAACCAAGACAUGGAAAAGUGGAGUGCGACCGUAAAAAAUGCUCAUCAAAUUGCUGGCUCCAUGUUGCCUAUCCACUGUCAUCAUACUUGUUUGCAUCAAAACGUCUCCGUUGAUGUUGAAUAUGAAACAGUUGCCACUGUCCCACCAGCAGCACCGAAGACGAGCCCAGCAGCAACAUGAUGGAGACCAGCAGUACUUCUUGAUCCGGUAUCUGAAUCAUUGGUCGUCAGUGUUUCCGCGGAAAGCGUGUAGAGGGAGAUGGUUCUGCCGAUAACCGGCACACUAAGGUAGGUGUAGGUCUGGACGCUGGUGCUGUUGGAGGCGCGCCGGUCGAGCUCAGCCAUCACUCAGCCGGGCAGUACUUUGAGCUGUCACAGAAAUAUCAUGAUCAUCUUUUAGCGAAUACAAAGGCUAGGCGGGGCGGUCGAUUUGCAGCGGGGUGGCGUGAGGAAUAUCUCGUUUGGAAGAGCAGGUGGAGUACAAGGUCGCGUCAAGGUCCAAUGACCGGAAUAUCGGCUCCACAGAGGACGCCAUCACAGAUCUUGCUUGCCUUAUCGUGACAUCUUCUUUGCCAUGGUAAGCACAUCAUGGUUCGUUCGCCCUCAUGACUUUUUAUUAUGACAUUAAUGGAGUUCAGAAAGCAGUUUUAGUGAAGAUCGAAUGGUUUUUAGAUUAAGUAGAUAAUACAAGAGUACUCUUCUGUAGUGUAUUGUUGUUCAACUGAGACAUAUGCAGUGGGUUUGAUGGCCGCAGGAUAAUUAAAGCCAAGGUAAAGUCUAUACAUUCACAAUUCCUAUUGUUAUAAAUAGGAAAAAAAAGAUAUAGGCGAAUACUACUGUUUUAGAUGCCGGUAAAAUGGACUAGAAUUUCAUGAGCUGUUUAGUCAGCAUGCUACCGCUCAUCAAAGGCGGAGGACCAAAUUUUUUCGAGGUAGGUCAGCCGAGACUACAGCACAUGAGACUUCCUCACUGCUAGCCUCUAGCGCCAGGGCGUGCGUCUUCACCGUCCACCUUGGCCUCCGGCACAAACGCUCCUGCUGCUUGCUGCUAGGCGCUAGCCCGCUGGGGUUCGCGCGUGGCAUGCGCCAGGGCUGGUGGUUUGUGUUCUGCUGUUCCUGUUCAUACCUUUGUGAUGACUGGUUCGGUACGUCGUGUGUGUGACGUAUGUGCAGCCAUCAGGCAAGGGCAUGACCCAAAUAAGGAUCCUUCUAAGAAGUCACGACCCAACAUCAAAGAGAACUCUUCCUUUCAUUGACUUAUUGCACCUGUCAUCCGUCGAUCGAGCGUAUUUGCCGGAAAUAAAGGUUGUGCGGACACCCUGUAUCUUCAGUAUUUCUCCCACUUUUUCUUCUACAUGUGUAAAUGUAGUUACACUUGAGAAAGCGAGAAAUAUUUGUUUUGUCAAAAAAAUGACAUAUCUUUGUUAUCUGGAUGCCCGUGCGUUGACAGGUGCGUGUGUGUUUAGCAAUGGGAGCUAUAUCCCAAGUGCAUGUGUUUAGAUAGUGAAUUUAAGUACUACUUAUUUUGGCAAAGUGUCCUUUCCAGUAUGGUUUUGAAUUCAGAAUUGUUACAUAAGGAGCACCGGCGAUUUCAUUAAUCUACAAAAAUAUAGAUUGUUCCUUCGAACUACCUGUUUCUACUCUAUUAGAUGUUCGUAAGCAAUAUUAUGCUAUUAAGAUGCCAUUUUUUAAAUUGCCUUUUGGCCUUUGGAUCACGACUAUUUUUGUUUUGUUUCAUUUUAAGUAAAAUUGAGCAGGUUGUGUGUCCUGUUUUGCACACAUUUUUGCUUCGGUAAUGUAAGUCCAUUAACCUUCAAUUCUUCUAUACUUCAUAUGAUUAUGCAAUCUACCACUUACAUGUAAAGAGUGUCAUAUCUUAGUUUGCUGCAAUUUAUGCCCCUACAGAAGAAACGGUUUCAGGGCAAGGCAACAAAAGUUAUUACAGCAUAGAGCUUCUAUCAAGUAAAUUUCCUAGCAAAGAAAUGAGCACUUGCUUCCUGGAACAUGUGUCAGACCCUGAUGGCAUGUUUCUUGACAGCAGCGCCAUGGAAGUCUUGCUGGGGCUUGGCAGCCUUGCAUGUUUAUACCUUAAACAUGUUCCAAGACUGCUCAACGACAAGUUAAAUUUUGACCCUCCCUGAAUGGUCUCUACAAGGCUACAUGGGCCAUGGGCUGAAGUAUAUCAUGAGAUUUACCCAAUCCACCUUACAUUCAACUAUGCACAAUAGCGAUGCCAUGUUUUUAAAUAAUCUAUAUAUAUGCUUCUACAUUGAAAUCCAAUUUCAUCAUAAUUUUGCUAUUUGAUAAUAGUAUAACACUGGUAGACGUAUGGGUUGUCCCUCUAAAAUUUAAGCUUCGUCUCCAUGCUUGCUUUUGUCUAUUGGUACCCUGAUUUUCUUAGAAAGGUGGUCUUGUGAUUACUGAGUUAACAGCUGCUGUCGAAAUAUUCAGAAAAUUCAGUUUUAUUUGAGUCGUAGCUGUAGUUGUUUGAACUCAGUUUCGUCAGCUUGUUUUCUUCAGUUAAACUUUAGCAGAAACAUACCAAGCUGUGACGAUGUCCUAGAUUGUUAGGAUAGAUCCUCGCAAUGAUUGGAUCGUGGGAUGGCACGCCACAACGGUCACGGCGAUGAUGCAGAGAGGUGUGCAAGGAGUUCUAGGAUGGCGGCACUCACAACUCGGAUAUGUCAUGCUUUUCCCUUUUUCAGUUAGCAUUGUAAUCACUCAAUAAAUAGAGGAGGGAGAAGAAAAGCUGUAGACUGAACACAGCACAAAACAUCGUCUCUCUCUCUCUCUCUCUCUCUCUCUCUCUCUCUGUUAGCUCUCCAAUUUAUGAAAUAUUCAGUUUUCAGUGGUUGCCCUUUUUAUAUAUUUUAUUUUAACUAAAUUCACAUCUCCAUGGUUCAGCCCGUCUUUCCGGCUUGAGGCUUAUCAAACACUUUUGGGUUCAAGAUUCAGGACAAACAAGGCAAGAUGCACAAAUUUAACUGUGGUAUGCACACUCAUUUUGGUGUCACACAACUGGAGUUAUAUCAUCGCUCUUUCUUUUCCCAUGUCAUGCCCAGUAAUUUAUACUAUUGUUCAAGCUCCAUUGAUAAAUCGAACCUACCUCAAAUUCUGGUACUGUUCAAGCUCCAUUCUCUAUAUAUGUGCCUAUAUACCUAUAUCACUGUCAGUUCUCUAAGGUUUCUUCUUUUCCUAAUACCAUUUGACAGUACGAAGAUGAUGAUCACAAUAAAGUCAUGCUCUCAUCGGAUUCCGACCAUAUAGCGACUGGGUACCAUGCAAAGCAAAUCGCUUGGAAGUUGCCGCCUAUGAGGGGAGUGAGUGGAGAUGGCCAGAUCUGUGCGGCGGAGGGGCGAUGGAAGCUCGAAUGGAAGAUUUCUCGCCAGCAUCGGAGCAAUUUAUUGUCCAGAUCGACCAUAAAGCUCCUACAUAGACAUGAAGGAUUGUCAUUAUUAAGAAGUUCAAUCUUUGGAAAUUCAGCAUGUGACACUGUAAAAAUAGAAAGAAGCUAGAAAAUUGUCUCUGGCCGAUUUCGUAUGUAGCUGUGAGCAUUGCUAAUUUCUGUCAACAUGAACGAGAUCUGGACUAUUUAUAUAGCUACCAUGUGCUCAACAAAUUGUUUGAUAAUGUAACACUCCUGAAUAGAUUGAUGUAUGAUAAGCACAUGUGUUAAUCUUGGAGCAGAUGAUAGAUUGUCAGUUGUGCUGAAUUGAUAUUUAAUGACUAUUCAUAUCAAAUUUUU